rnacentral:rRNA from 1 species
UACGUAGGGGGCAAGCGUUGUCCGGAAUCAUUGGGCGUAAAGCGCGUGUAGGCGGCCCGGUAAGUCCGCUCUGAAAGUCCAGGGCUCAACCCUGGAAAGCGGGUGGAUACUGCCGGGCUAGAAUCCGGAAGAGGCGAGUGGAAUUCCUGGUGUAGCGGUGGAAUGCGCAGAUAUCAGGAGGAACACCAAUAGCGAAGGCAGCUCGCUGGGACGGUAUUGACGCUAAGGCGCGAAAGCGUGGGGAGCAAACAGG